AAACAGCCUCUUCUGUUUGAUGAGAAUCAUCCCAAAGUUGGCAUAUGAAGCUUGAGUUUCAAGUAUGGAUGCUGAGCUCUUGACAGUGGGUGGGCAAACUGCAGAUAAUCAUUGUUAGAAGGGCUUGUGGAAAGAACAAUGAAGUAACCAGAGCUUACAUGAAAGAAGUUUCACUUUUCAAAUGAGAUAAACUAAUGUUCUUUAAACAACCCUUUUGUUCUAAUGCUUUUCCUACUAAUUCUAAAUGGAGGUGAAGAAAAACACACAGAUGGAUGUAACCAAAUCUAAAGUUAUUAAACGGAUUUUUUUUUAUGACUGGAAGCUAGCGGGCAACAAGAGGAAUGAAUAUUCCUGAAGGAGGCAGAUUAUUAGACCCAGAGUAUACUUUCUGAGGUACCCUACGCGAAGGAAGGAUCAUUGCACCAUUACGGAGACGAGGAUACAAACUGUCAGGCCUCUGAGCCCAAGCUAAGCCAUCACAUCUCCUGUGACCUGCACAUAUACAUCCAGAUGACCUGAAGCAAAUGAAGAACCACAAAAAAUAACAUUCCACCAUUGUGAUCUGUUCCUACCCACCCUAACUGAUCAAUUGACCUUAUGACAAUACCCCCUCCCCGCCCUUGCAAUAAUAUACUUUGUCAUACUCCCCCGCCCUUAAGAAGGUACUUUGUAAUAUUCUCCCCGCCCUUGAGAAUGUACUUUGUGAGAUCCACCCCCUGCCUAUAAAAAAUUGCUCCUAACUCCACCGCCUAUCCCAAACCUAUAAGAACUAAUGAUAAUCCCAGCACCCUUUGCUGACUCCUUUCUUGGACACAGCCUGCUUGCACCCAGGUGAAAUAAAC
rnacentral:lncRNA from 10 species